UACGAAGGGGGCUAGCGUUGCUCGGAAUCACUGGGCGUAAAGCGCACGUAGGCGGAUUGUUAAGUCAGGGGGGAAAUCCUGGAGCUCAACUCCAGAACUGCCUUUGAUACUGGCGAUCUCGAGUCCGGGAGAGGUGAGUGGAACUGCGAGUGUAGAGGUGAAAUUCGUAGAUAUUCGCAAGAACACCAGUGGCGAAGGCGGCUCACUGGCCCGGUACUGACGCUGAGGUGCGAAAGCGUGGGGAGCAAACGGG
rnacentral:rRNA from 1 species